GAUCCUGGCUCAGGAUUAACGCUGGCGGCGUGCCUAAUACAUGCAAGUCGAAUGGUAGUAGCAAUACAAACCAUGGCGAACGGGUGAGUAACACGUAGGUAACCUGUCUUUAAGACGAGGAUAACCAUUGGAAACGAUGGAUAAUACUGGAUAGGACAUCAUAAAGGGCAUCCUUAGAUGUUUAAAGAUUAUAAUGUCACUUAGAGAGGGGCCUGCGGCGCAUUAGCUAGUUGGUGAGGUAAGAGCCCACCAAGGCGAUGAUGCGUAGCCGGACUGAGAGGUUGAACGGCCACAAUGGAACUGAGAACGGUCCAUACUCCUACGGGAGGCAGCAGUAGGGAAUUUUCGGCAAUGGGCGCAAGCCCUGACCGAGCAACGCCGCGUGAACGAAGAAGUUAUUCGUAAUGUAAAGUUCUUUUAUCUGGGAAGAAAAACAAAUUGACGGUACCAGAUGAAUAAGCUCCGGCUAACUACGUGCCAGCCGCCGC
rnacentral:rRNA from 1 species